AGCAGCCGCGGUAAUUCCAGCUCCAAUAGCGUAUAUUAAAGUUGUUGCAGUUAAAAAGCUCGUAGUUGAAUUUCGGAGUUUGUCGGUUGGUCGGGCUUCACUGUCCGCACUGGCCUGAUGGAUUCCUACCUUCUGAAUAACCAGCAUGCUAUUAAUUUAGUGCGUUGGGGAAGCAGAGCUAUUACCUUGAAAAAAUUAGAGUGCUUAAAGCAGGCUUACGCUUGAAUAGAUUAGCAUGGAAUAAUAAAAUAGGACGGCUUGGUUCUAUUUUGUUGGUUUCUAGGAUCACCGUAAUGAUUAAUAGGGAUAGUUGGGGGCAUUAGUAUUCAAUUGUCAGAGGUGAAAUUCUUGGAUUUAUUGAAGACUAACUUCUGCGAAAGCAUUUGCCAAGGAUGUUUUCAUUAAUCAAGAACGAAAGUUAGGGGAUCGAAGACGAUCAGAUACCGUCGUAGUCUUAACCAUAAACUAUGCCGACUAGGGAUCGGACGAUGUUAAUUUUUUAAUGACUCG
rnacentral:rRNA from 1 species